rnacentral:misc_RNA from 1 species
UUUCCGUAGGUGAACCUGCGGAAGGAUCAUUAAAGAAUCGCCCCGUUUUUUAUAAAUGGGUUCUAUUCCCAAACCGUGUAUACAUACCUUUGUUGCUUUAGCAGGCCGCAUCCGGGCGUCGGCUCCGGCUGAUAGUGCCUGCCAGAGGACCCAAACUCUGUGUUUAGUGAUGUCUGAGUACUAUAUAAUAGUUAAAACUUUCAACAACGGAUCUCUUGGUUCUG